CGCCUAACACAUGCAAGUCGAGCGGUAACAUGGUUAGUAGCAAUACUAACUGAUGACGAGCGGCGGACGGGUGAGGAACACGUAGGAACCUGCCCAAGAGAGGGGGAUAACUAAGGGAAACUUUAGCUAAUACCGCAUAAUCUCUGGCGAGAAAAGUUGCCCGUAAGGGUAGCGCUUUUGGAGGGGCCUGCGUCCGAUUAGUUAGUUGGUGAGGUAAUGGCUCACCAAGACGAUGAUCGGUAACUGGUCUGAGAGGACGACCAGUCACACUGGGACUGAGACACGGCCCAGACUCCUACGGGAGGCAGCAGCGGGGAAUCUUGGACAAUGGGGGCAACCCUGAUCCAGCGAUGCCGCGUGGGUGAAGAAGGCCUUCGGGUUGUAAAGCCC
rnacentral:rRNA from 1 species